AUUAUUGCAAAUCCCCCCUUUUGGGGUGUUGCAGUUGCCUCUGUGGGCAAGGACAGACAUUUAACUCUUCCCCAGGUGUUGGGAGAACCCAAAGAGUUGUUGCCUUAAUGUUCACAGAUGUUAGUGACCUGUGCCAUGAGACCUCAAGGUCCUUUCAUUGCCUAUUGAAAUCAAAACCUGUAGCCGCAUCCUGGAGCAGACAAGGGAAACAGAGAGCUGCUAAUCAACCCUGCCAUCCUCUCCUGGGAUGCCAGCAGAAUCAUACUGCUGUUACCUGCUUGCUGGUGACUUUUUCAACACACCUGCACUUAAGUGGAAUGAUGCCUGCCAGAAUACCAGCCCUGUCAAACUGAAGCCUGCUGUGACUGUCUACAGCACCAGGCCUCUAUGUGGUGUGAGCAUAAAUCAGGACCAGCUGUGGGAAAGAGCCUGCUCUGGGUCAGCAGAUCUCUUCUUCACCUGGGGACGCCUUGCAUGCAUUAUACUUCUGAGUUUCUGUACUGAGCCUUUGCAGAGCAGCAAGCUAUUCUCACUCCCAGCCCCGGCGUUUUGUCACCACGGGUGAUGUGGACUGAUGCUGCUGUGGACAAGGACACAGCAGUUUCGUCCACUGGCUGGAUGCUGCAGAGCAGCAGCUGGCCAUCGCUCAGGGACAGCGCGAUGCUCUGUGUGGGUAUGGCAGGAAACCUGCCUGGCAGAGCUGGCACAGUUUGGAGCAGGGUGUGGGCAUCGGACAUGAUACAACAUGAUGUGGAAGUAGCAGAUGUUGACAUGAUCAGGUUUGUUGGCUUUUUGUUUUGUCUUUUCCUACCUGUGACUUCACUCUGUUUGGAGAGAGCACAUGCCAGACGGAUGGAGGGGAAAAACCAUUCUCAAGUUUGCACUGAAUUUGUCCCAAAUAGGUUCUCAUUCAGAUCAG